GUCCGACCGGCUGAGCUCUGGGGCCACGGUGGGGUGUGUUCAGCCCUGGGGUCCCCACCCCCUUGAGGUUAUGAGUGCCCAUAGGGAAGAUGUUGCCACUGUCCGCAGUUGGGAGAAGAAGAACCUGGCACAUGAGGAAGCCAAGUAAUUGGAUCAGCCCCGUGAGCUCCUCGCACUGACUGCCCUGCAGGGGCGACAACCUCGUGCACCCACACUGGGGCCCUCACGAGGCUUCAAGAUAAUGGCUCAAGGGAGCAGACAGGGUGGUUUGAUCCCAGUUAAGAACACAAGUUCAGCCAAUUUACUUGACCCUGAGCUGGUGUGACCCACUUCUUAGGGCCUCAGAUCCUCAGUUGUAAAAUGGGCAUACCGCUGGCCCUGGCCCUCACUGGGGUGGCGGGGGGCAUCCGGUGACUCACUCCAUGACAAGGGCCUUGCUCAUAAACAGAGGCUAUUAGAGAGCCACAGACACCCUGACUCCCAGAGGCCCAGAGAGGCUGGAUUCACACUCAGAAGUGAGGCCUUCCCCGGGGGACCCAUACACAGCAGAGUCUG
rnacentral:antisense_RNA from 1 species